rnacentral:rRNA from 1 species
GGGGGAUAUUGCACAAUGGGGGAAACCCUGAUGCAGCGACGCCGCGUGAUUGAAGAAGGCCUUCGGGUUGUAAAGAUCUUUAAUCAGGGACGAAACAAAUGACGGUACCUGAAGAAUAAGCUCCGGCUAACUACGUGCCAGCAGCCGCGGUAAAACGUAGGGUGCAAGCGUUGUCCGGAAUUACUGGGUGUAAAGGGAGCGCAGGCGGACCGGCAAGUUGGAAGUGAAAACUAUGGGCUCAACCCAUAAAUUGCUUUCAAAACUGCUGGCCUUGAGUAGUGCAGAGGUAGGUGGAAUUCCCGGUGUAGCGGUGGAAUGCGUAGAUAUCGGGAGGAACACCAGUGGCGAAGGCGACCUACUGGGCACCAACUGACGCUGAGGCUCGAAAGCAUGGGUAGCAAACAGGAUUAGAUACCCUGGUAGUCCAUGCCGUAAACGAUGAUUACUAGGUGUUGGAGGAUUGACCCCUUCAGUGCCGCAGUUAACACAAUAAGUAAUCCACCUGGGGAGUACGACCGCAAGGUUGAAACUCAAAGGAAUUGACGGGGGCCCGCACAAGCAGUGGAGUAUGUGGUUUAAUUCGAAGCAACGCGAAGAACCUUACCAGGUCUUGACAUCCGAUGCAUAGCUUAGAGAUAAGUGAAGUCCUUCGGGACAUCGAGACAGGUGGUGCAUGGUUGUCGUCAGCUCGUGUCGUGAGAUGUUGGGUUAAGUCCCGCAACGAGCGCAACCCUUAUUGCCAGUUACUACGCAAGAGGACUCUGGCGAGACUGCCGUUGACAAAACGGAGGAAGGUGGGGAUGACGUCAAAUCAUCAUGCCCUUUAUGACCUGGGCUACACACGUACUACAAUGGCCGGUACAGAGGGAUGCCACCCCGCGAGGGGGAGCGGAUCCCGGAAAGCCGGCCCCAGUUCGGAUUGGGGGCUGCAACCCGCCCCCAUGAAGUCGGAGUUGCUAGUAAUCGCGGAUCAGCAUGCCGCGGUGAAUGCGUUCCCG